UUUUCGUUUCAGAGGAGGACUGCUCCCCUACCCAGGUGGACUGCAACUGUGAUGCUUGAAGUUUGUGUGGUCGUAGUCUUUUCCUGGCCUGCUCCAGGAUGUCUGCCAUCGCACUGAGGACCUGGUCAUGCUGCCACCUGUUUCUCCCUUGGGUCAGGGAUGUUUGACACCCAGCUAGGAUGUGGGAAAGUGUGCCUCUGUGUCCACACUUGUUUGCAGAGUUUCUUGUGUGUGGGAAGGGGCAGCCCUUAACAGUAUAAUUCUGAAGGUAUCUGAAUAAACAGAGUUUUUAAAAAGGCUUCAAAACUAAAUAUUUACUUGGAGAAACAAGCUCUUGCAUUGUUUUUUGAUUCACAAUAAAUUUUUGAAUGUCACUUGUUAAAAGUGUUGAAUCAUUUCUCAGAGGGAUGCUACAGCUAACCCGCUAGCAGCUGCUACUUUUUCUUUGUCUCUCCUCUGUUUUAUGACAUGACAGCCAGAACUGACAGUGUUUCCAUAUGCCUAUUUUCAACAUGUCAUGAAUCUUUGAAUUUCUUUAAAAAGACAAUUUUCAUAAAUUCCAGUACACUGUGACUUCUGCUGCCCCCUAACUGCUGUUUUAAGAGCCACAUGCUAGCUUAGAAAUAGCUGCUAGGUUCAGUGCAUCAUACAGAGCCUCAGAGAGUUCAGGUGUUUUAAGCUGCUCAGUCUAAAUAAAGGAUCUGAAUUAAACCUGGUCUGUUCUCUCUGUAGCUGCUGAAAGGAAAGGAGAGAUUUUAGAAGAAGGAGGAAGGAGAAGUAGGAGGAAAUGGUGAGAUGAAGGCGGUUUCGUAGUGCAGAUGUGUGGUUUCCUUUGCUGCCUUCCCUAACUUCCUGUUAGUGUUAUUUCUGUCGUUCACUGCACAUCUAUUCCUCUACUCUUUCACUCCUCCUCUCUCCUUGAGAGAGGAGGAGUGAAUAACCAACACAACAAUAACCAACACUCACUUUCCCCCUACCUCCUUUUUCUUUCCUCACAGUGACAACAAACAACCUGACUGCAGCGCUGCUGUUUUUCAAACUGUUUAUCCAUAGGUGUACUGCUUUAAUCUGAUUAUCCACCUGUAGAGGGCAGCACUGUUCAUUAUUCACAGAGAAAAAAUCCAAACCACUGACCUAAAAAUGAGCUUUCACCAACUGGAGACUCAUCUAUGUCCCAAAAUAACUGGACCGACACACUCACGCACACACACACACACACACACACACUAGGUUUGCAUGUGUGUGUGUGUGUGUGUGUGUGUGUGUGUGUGUGUGUGUGUGAGUGAGUGGGUGUAUUGUGCCUCAUCCUCUCUGCUCAGGUCACAGUAUGAGAUGAUAAUCUGGCCCGGUUGCACACAGAAACAAUGACAGCUGACUGCAGAUUACAGAGCCGGAUUAUCAAGGGAGCGGGGGAAGAGGGGGAGGAAAUAUGGAUGAGUAUGAGACAUAAAUGGGCCGAUGAAGAUGUUUUAGAGAUAAAUACAAAACAGGCAGAGUGGGCAGGAUGUGGCUCCAGAGAAGGGAAAUGUUCAAAAAAUUAAUUUGCAUGGAGUAAAACUGUGGUGUGAAACAAUCUUGUUGCAGCAGUCUACUUUUUUUUUAAACAUAAAAAUGAAAACUUACUGAACAAAAAAAUGGUGCAUUUUAAAGUUUAACCUUAUCAAAAAGGAGUAUAGCUUAAGUACAUUUUAUGAAGUAUACUGAAGUUCGUUUUAAUUUACUUCCCAAAGUAUACUUUGUACACUAAAACAAAUAUACUACUUGUUUACUCACGAGUUAACCUGUUGGGACUUAAUUGGCCCUAAAUUUUUGUUUAUAAAAGUACACUUAAAGCAUACUUGAAAGUGAACUUGGUAUACCAUUAGCUUACUAAAAAUAAACAUCCUGUCCCCUUUUUAGUUUAUGAAAGUACACUUUGAAGCAUACCUUUCUCUUUUUUUGGGAGGGUGGGGCUUUUGCCUUCAAUGGAUGGGACAGAGUGGAAAUGUGGGAGACAAAGAGAGAGGGAGGAAUGACAUGCAGCAAAGGGUUGGGGUUAAAAUCAAACCUGUGACCACUGCAGGAACCAAGGUCCCCAACAUCAAGCAUGCCUUAACCCACUCGGGUAUCUGCACCCCCACUGUGAAACAUAUUUAAAAUUACCUUUUUGGGAUGCUAUUAUUUCAAUAGUAGUACAAGUAUACCUUAAGUAUAUCUUGAUCAAAAGUUUAAGAAUAAGUUAAAUGUAUGCAGACAUUUAGUAUAAUUCUUAUUACAAGCCAAGUUAAGUUUGUUAUGUGAAUCUCUAAAAGGUGCACAAAAAGUAAACUGGAAGCAUACUUAGUUUAAACACAGUAUAUUCCUGAAAUACACUUAAACAUACUUCUUCUUGGUAAGGGUUGGGAACCAGUAAGGAUACUCUAGCUGGUUGUUAGACUGAAAUAAAUGAUGAUAUGAUCAACCACAUCAACUAUAAAGACACAAAAAUUGCAGACUUUAUUUUUGCCAGAAGCUGCCACAGCAAGGUCUGACAAGACAGUGAAGCAGAAGUGAGCAGUGUUAGUACAGGCAGGAUGCAAAUUGGAGCCCCACCCACAGCACAUCAGCUGAUCUGAACAUCAGGCCAUAUCAGCUGAUUAUACUCUACACAUACAGGUGUCAAAUGUGAAAAUGUAUUGAAAUGCUCUGAGCCUGUCUACUCCUCCUGCUUCCUCUGCAAACAGUCUUGAUGCUGCUCUUCUUGCCAUUACCCAGCUCCUUUAUAAUGAUGUGUUUGUGGUGUGUGAUGUGUGUGUGUGUGUGUGUGUGUGAUGUUUUGUAUUCUGGAGUCUUUGCUGCUGCUCUCCCUGCCUUGGCUUUUCAUAUAUGCUCAUGAAUGAGAGGGAGGGUGUGCUCUCCCUGCCUCAGGCUUCAGCAUUCCAGGUAAGCUUGUGAAAGGGCAGGGAGCUCUUGGAGUGGAGCUAUAAAACCAAAUAACACUAUUGCAUGUCAGUUAUUUUUACAACAAUAGUCCACACUGAUGUGCAUUUAUCUUAGGGGCAUCAUUGGGAACAUCCUUAGUUGUCUCAAACAUUUUUUUUCAUGUUGGAGGACAUUGAUAGUCCCAAGCCCUGGUUGGAAUCAACACAAAAGGUAGACUUGUCUGCUCCAAACUGAGAAUUUCAGGAAGUCAACAUGAUAUCCAGAUAAUUUUAUACACUUUUUUUUGGAUCCUGCAAAUAUACUAUAGAAAGUAAAUCCGGAGAGCUUUGAAUGUAGUCUAAAGCCUCUUUUUUAUGAUGUUGCCAAACUUCUGGUGUCUGACUUCAUGUUUUAGGAACAAUAUUUAUCAUAAUGACUAUAGAUAGUCUGUGCUGUAAAUAAUCCAGUGUUCUCCAUGCGUGGUUGAUGUAUCACACACUAAUUGGUUGGUGUGUGUUGGUGUGUUUUGUGUGUUCCUAUGAGUGAUCUCUGCUCCUCGCAGAGUUUCUGUUUCUCACACACAGUCUUCUCUUAUACUAACUGUAAGCUCAGGUUAUUCACAUGCACACAGAGCAGAGUGAAUUAGGGCAUGCUGGUUUUUCAUCAUAUUAUCUCUCAGACUGUUUAGCUCUUACACUGCAUACUCAGAUAUUCUCACGCUGUUUCACACUCACGCCAUGGUUCACACUCACGCUAUGGUUCACUCCAAUAUAAGAAAAGGGACUUAAGUAAAAGUUGAAUUACUGCUGAUGAUAAUAUCGGCCUCUAUGAAUGUAACUUGGAAAAAAUAUAAUUACAAAAACAGCAAAAUAUAAAGAUUAAACAGCAGAAGUUCCCAUGCUGAAAGUGAUGAAAACACAUAAAAACAUUUGUGGAGAGUAACUGUAAAUAUACUUGACUGUGGUGUUAUCAUUGAAGGAUACCAUACACCAUAGACCUCAGGUUGUAUAUGUCCACAGGUAGGUGUGACAUGGUGACAAUAGAGCAGGUUACACUGAGGUCAAAGCUGGGGUCAGGGCAAAAAGAGACGUAAGCAGUAACAUCAGUGUUUUGUUUGUGUUUUCAUAUACAUACAGCGUUAAAUAUUGUGUUAAAUUUGGAGGACGUUCUCAAAAGACACACUGGAAAAGAGUAGCAGCUGCCAUGUGUUCAUGUAUGUGUAUUUAACAGGGAGUAUAUCUGCAGCUAUGCACAGGUCAGUUUAAAUGUGAAUACUAAAUACCUAUGUUCAAGUCAGGUCUAGUUUUUAUUUCAUGUGACCUCCAAACAGACAUGCUCAUACUUUUAAUCGCACAAAAACACUAAAACCUCUCCACCCUCUUUAUCUGCUGCAGCUGCACACCAGCACCACUCUGCAGCUCUCAGGCGUGUGUGUGUGUGUGUGUGUGUGUGUGUGUGUGUGUGUGUGUGUGUGUGUGUGUGUGUGUGUGUGUGUGUGUGUGUGUGUGUGUGGUCUCACCUGGUCACAUGGUCCAGUUUCUUUGGAGAUUAAUUGUGCAUGUUUGGUUUCUAUCUUUGGUGUUGUUGCUGUGUUUUCAUGUUAGUUUCCGUCUGUAGAUCAGCUGUUAGACGGACGUGCCACACCUGCUGUUACUUAUAAAAUGCUGCAGAGUGUCUCUGUCAUGGUGGGUUCAGACAGGAUCAGAGUGGGUCUGAUCUCACUGUCCUAUUUUGUGUUGAUGUUUGUCUUUGUAAAUAAUAAAACAAGGAGCUCAGUAUCUUGAGCAGCCGUUUCUAAAAAGCACAACAUUUAUUGUGACUUGGUAUGGCAUAAAUGAAGAUGGAUGAUUGAUUGAGUGUCUGGUAAACAGUUUUGGACAUGUUAUUUCAGCUGCAGUCCUGAUGGUGUUAAAAGAAAACAAUAUGAAGACAAUGUGGAUGAAUUUGGAAAUGUGAUUAAAAGUCUUUGUUAGUCUCUGUUGGAGAAUGAUGCAAAGAAAGCCCAACCUGUAACUUUUAUAUGGCAGCUACAAAAAUGUUGCAUUCAGUAUUCAGUGUCCCCAUCUAAAUACUGAGAUUUGUGAUUUAUUGAUUUAUUUUUUUUAAAUAUGGGACAAUAUGUAUUAAUGAACAUUUACAUGUUCCUUUAGUAGGUUGGUGUCAGCACAUAAAACAAAACUGAACAUCAGCAAUAGAUGCCCAUAGUACCUGGUUGUACAUGCAAAUUUGUCACUAGAUAUUGCACAAAAAAGCAUACAUACUGUAGAUGUCUUGUGUAAGCAAGACAUGUUGUUCGUUCUUUUUGAGAAGUACAUACAGACAGUUGUAGAGAUGUGAAGAUGCAGCUGACAGCUCUCAAGCCAGCGAUACGCAUGGCAUAAGUCAAUUCCUGGGCAGCUUGCUCACUGUCUUUUGCAUGUACAUACAAAACUAUGUUAUCUGCACACACUUGACGGAUUACAUUUGAAGGACAACAACUUGGAGGGUCAUUAAUAAGGACACUAAAAAGAAGCGGGACUGACCCUUGUGGAACCCCAAAGUUGUUGCUAUUUGAAACUGACUUUGAGUCGUGAACUGUAACACACUUAGUCCUUGAUGAAAGGUAUGAUUCAAAAUACCUCAUAAAAUUCACAGAAUAUUAAAAUACAUCAGUUUGGACAACAAAAUAUGAUGAUUGAUGGUAUCAAAUGCUUUUUCAGACAGCCGCAACAUCUCCACCAGCAUCCAGCUCAGUUUUUAUACUUUCAGGAAAAAGCAAACAGCCGUCUCAGUUGAGUGGUGUUUUCUAAAACCA